AUAAACGAGAGUUUGAUCCUGGCUCAGGACGAACGCUGGCGGCGUGCCUAACACAUGCAAGUCGAGCGGAGAUAGUGUUUGGCACUGAGUUUUUUCGAAAGUAGCUUGAGAGAAGUUGCAAACCGGUCGCGAGUCUUGACUUCGAGGAAUGCAUUGCAACCCCAUAAAAGGGAAGCAAUGGGUUUUGAGGGAAAAGGGAGCGUCAGGGGGCAACGAAGCGAAACGGGAAGAUUGAGUGUCAGACACUGUCUUAGCGGCGGACGGGUGAGUAACGCGUGAGUAACCUGCCUUACACAGGGGAAUAGCCUCGGGAAACUGGGAUUAAUGCCCCAUGACAUAUCCAUGUCGCAUGGCUUGGAUAUCAAAGUGAUAGCGGUGUAAGAUGGACUCGCGUCUGAUUAGCUGGUUGGUGGGGUAAAGGCCUACCAAGGCGACGAUCAGUAGCCGGCCUGAGAGGGUGAACGGCCACACUGGAACUGAGACACGGUCCAGACUCCUACGGGAGGCAGCAGUGGGGAAUAUUGCACAAUGGGGGAAACCCUGAUG
rnacentral:rRNA from 1 species